GCUUUGGUGGCCUAGUGGUUAGAGUGUCUGCCUUGGAUGCAGUGGGUUUGAAUCCCAGCUGAGGCA